rnacentral:lncRNA from 1 species
UGUUUUUUUUUUCACGUGGACUCAAGCAGACGAAAUAGGUCGGCGCGUUGAAGUUUUGGCCUUAUACUGGGUAGUGGCUCAUUCGGCCAGCGCAGGGCAUCUUGCCCGCGAUCUCACUCGGUUAUUUCGUUUUGCAGUGGUAGAUUCAAGUCAACGGUCGUUUCCCCAUCGGUGCUUCGAACGGACGACAGUGCAGACAAAAACGUCAAAAAGGGGCGGAAAUUGCGCAGAAGAUUCUUUUUCUUUUCUUUUUCCUGGGAUUACGAUUUGGACCAGACGACGGCAGCCUGCAAGAACGAGGAAGAACUGACGGAGAAGACAAGAUGUCAGGCUUUCUCAAUUACCCUCGCGCGGCUUCUUAAUCAUCAAUCACGGUUAUGCCGACGCGCCGACGAACAAAAACAUUACGAAUAGAUGUCAGGCAGUUCGUUAACAACGGCAUGUCGCGAGACCAAUGCUAACCCCAAACAAACAAAAAAUGAUUUUUUUUGAAACGGAACAAACAAAAAAUGUUAUUACGAAGGCAAAUUAGAAUGAAACAUGUGCCACAGAAGAACAGGAAAGAGAGCGAAGGAGAUUGAAAAGGCCACUGCUAGGCGCGGGCGCACCGGCCCAAAGAUUGGGCCGGCCGCACCCUAGCUGGAGGAUGCCACUGGUUUUGGCCGUUCGAUCUAGCGAAAAAAAAUGAGUCGUCCCCGAUCUUCUUCCUCCUCGCGCAUCUCACGCUCGCGCAGAUCCCCGCAUCUCCGCCGUCUCGUGCAGCUCUCCUCUGGUGCCUCAUCUCCCCUCCGAUGGCCUUCCUCGUCACCGAUCCACACCCUCGCCGGCCUUGUCUAUUUUACCAAGCCUCUCUCCGAGACAGUGCCCAGAUCGUUACGCCUUUCGUGCGGGUCGGAACUUACCCGACAAGGAAUUUCGCUACCUUAGGACCGUUAUAGUUACGGCCGCCGUUCACCGGGGCUUCGGUCGCCGGCUUCCCUGUCAUCAGUUCACCAACUUCCUUGACCUUCCGGCAUUGGGCAGGCGUCAGCCCCCAUACAUGGUCUUACGACUUUGCGGAGACCUGUGUUUUUGGUAAACAGUCGCCCGGGCCUGGUCACUGCGGCCCCCUUUUGUGAGGGGGCACCCCUUCUCCCGAAGUUACGGGGCUAUUUUGCCGAGUUCCUUAGAGAGAGUUGUCUCGCGCCCCUAGGUAUUCUCUACCUACCCACCUGUGUCGGUUUUGGAAGCGCUCAUCCCUUGCUUGUUCUUGAGCGCGCAAGGCGCUCAAGACGCGUAGCGUAUGUCAAGAUAAAGUUAAUCAAUUCGUAUGACGGCAGGGAGCGGAGGCAGCUUCAACUCAAGUGAGGAGCAAGCUUACCUCGGGCGGGUAGAUUGAUCGGCUCCUUCAUAUCUCGGGGCAACACAGGACUGAUGACGGGGUGGGGCGCGCAGUGAACUGGGUUUUCGAAUCCUAUCUCUCUGGGGAAAGGUAUCUUUUUUCAAUUCGAACAACGGUAUCCCUACCUGGCAAACUAUCCUUGUUUUCGAAGUCCCUAGUUUUGGCUGUUUAUACAGGAACGAAUCAAUCAAGUUUCUACUAAAACAGAACUCUAGACAAAUCUUCUUUUUCUGCAGCAUUGCUUCUAUGAUCUUAGGAGCACUGGCCGCCAUGGCCCAAACGAAAGUCAAAAGACCCAUUUCUUCCGUUAUCUCAUAAAUAAAUAAAUGAUUGGUCUUUAAAAAGAAGGAACGGCCUUUUUGACGACUGGGAGAUCCUAUAAAAUGAAGAGCGUUUCGUAAACCCUGUCGACUUGUUUUUCAAUAGUAAAUCAUAGGCUGAAAAACAAAGGGCAAUGAAUCAGGUCCGACAGCGGGUUUUCCAACAGGCGGCGUCGGCUUGACCCUGUCUUCUCUCUUGGUCGGGUCGGAGGCUAAGUUUCUCAUUCAGUGGUGAGGUGUUCAUAGAAAGCAAGGCCUCGCCCAACGAGUGGCGGAUUUGGUUUGGAUGGGGUCUCGCUUAGGCAGUCCUCGUCGUUGGUUCCCACUCUCGCUAGUCCUCCUCGUCGCUACCUCGACCCAUGCAACACCUACGGUUGCAGCUCUCAUCGGCUCUGGUUGUAGCUCCGCCGCCGCCCCUCGCCGUUGAUACUCACUGAACGGAAUUGCGUCGACGACUCCCACCAGCCAAUCACGCCAUUGAACGGAUGUAGCAAAAAACUUAUCCCGUCAUAGUAAAACCUGACAACGGUUGCAGCAAAAAAACACCGUCACCAUCACCGCCGUCGCUAGGUCGCAGCUCCUUUUUGAUGGAUGUAGCAAAAAAGAUCGCCGGUAGUAGAAACAACCAAAAACGGGUGCAGCAAAAACGCCCUCGUCACCGUCGCAAGGUCGCAUCUUCUGCUUGAUGGAUGUAGCAAAACACUGCGCCGGUAGUAGCAAAACAAGACUACAGUUGCAGCAUCAUUUUUGUGUUGGAAGCACAGGAUUGCGCGAACGCCGGCCACCAGUAAAACGACAUUGAAUGAAUGUAGCAAAAAACAUCGUCGUAGUAGCUAAAAACAACGACGGUUGCCAAAUUGAAGCUUUUUCCUUGCCGGUUGAAACUUUUUUCAAGGUUCAAAGUUUUUCUUCCACACCCAUUUGAAGCUUUUUCAUGCUUGAAGCAUACUCCUUUGUCGGUUGAAACCUUUUCGCACACCAUUUGAAGCUUUUUUGCAUCUGCCGUCGCCGGCCACAAGUUCGCUGUCGUUGGUUGCAGCACGUUACUCUGACAGUAGUAGCUGUUUUUGUUGCCGGUCGUAGCUUUUCACAGUGUAGAUUGCAACUUUCCUCAUCUCCCGGUUGCAGUUGUUUGUUGUCAUGGGCCACAAAACUACACGCCGAAGAUUGUAGCAAAUAGCGCCACUGGUUGUAGCAAAAAAAUGAUCUAGUUGUAGCAAAAAUCAGCUGUGUUUCCAACUCGCUUAUUGGUUGCAGCAAAAAACAAUAGUGGUUCCAGCUUUGGAUUUGGCCGGUUGAAGCAAAACAAAAUGCUAGUUCCAGCAUCGUUAUCCGCUCGCUGGCAUCGCAACCUUCACUGUGGUCAUCCAUGGAGACUCUUCGUCUCCGGCACCAGUGGAUACCAGAUGCAGCACCCCCCCCCCAACCCCGUGCAUGUCGUCUUCAGCACCACAAGUCGUCGGCCGUGGGGUGGACGACGACCUUGCCGGCGAAAUUGGGCUGCGACGGGGUAGGGGUCGAUGCAGGGGUAGACGGGGGUGGACGGCGGCCUCGCCGGCGUGCUGGGGAUUGCAGCGGCAAGAACAGGGAAGAUGCAUGUGUCGCUGGAAAAAAGUAAGUGGACAGAGAGAAGGAUAAGUCGAGCUGGCUCAUCUCUUGUGGGAUCCCGCGAAGCAGGAGUGCGCAUGAGCGGGCGACCGGCUGAAGGUUCAGCCGGCGCGCCGUCUCCAAACGUUUCCAGAUUAAAAACGACUAGUGUCGCAUGAGCAUGACGCCGUCGGCACCAUCUGACCACGGAUACGAUUUUGUUUUCUUCUGAGCUUUGGAUACGAUAUUCAAGAACAAAAUAACUAUUGUUUUAUUAUUAUUCGUACGUCAAAAUAGAGCCGGCAACCCUAGGUGAAACCCAGCGCGUUGAGGGGCUCUUGGCGGCGUCGGCGAAAGUUUCGGCGAAUCAUGUCUCCUCACAUGUCCUUUUUCUUCCACUUAAUCAUUUUCCUCACAAACUUUUGGUUGGUGUGGGAUGUGGCUGAAAAGAUGCCCUCCCCAUACACUCCUAUUUCAACCGGAUGAAGCAUUUGGUCCUCCGAGAACUUUUUGGGUUCGAUGGUGUUCUUGGGGCUCCAACGGCUUGAGAUGCUCUUAAGGUUCGGGGUGCAAGGUGCUUGAGAUGCUCUUAAGGUUCGGGGUGCAAGGUGGGCUGUCAGACACAAACACCGCGAGGGAAGGAUGUCCACAGCACAGCAGAGGCAUCAGCGAGACACAAACAGGAGCACCGGGCGGCAGGCAAUUUGGUCUGUGUUGGACCAAGCAAAAGGACAAAAAUCUUUGGCUACGUGAAGAAGGGGGCAUGGCAAGGGUUGAAUGAAAUCAAAUGGUGCGGCCGAAUCGACUAACACCCAGUCGUUUUUCAGGCAAAGAUUGGAGCUAUGCGUCUGCCCACCUUGUGCCAAACGAAAAUAUUCCCAUGGAUAUGCCCAAACAAAAAUAUGGCAUUCUAAGAGUAUUACCGCACACAAAGAUUCAACCUGACUGCCUCUGCACAGCCGCUAGCAAACUUAACUGAGGCUGCCACUGGAACAAAAUAGACAGUAGGUGGUGAUUUGACAGAAGUUUCCAGCACAUGAAAUUUAUCUUUGGAUGUCUAAUGUGAAAAGGUGUACAGGUACAACUGCUGAAUGGCCAGUACACAGUAGUUUCCUACUAAAUGCAAUAUUAGGUCACAAGUACUUCAAUAACAAUUAAGGACUUGCCUAAUAUAGAAAGCAAGAAUGCAUCACAUCUUGGAGAUGGCAAGACAUUCCCAUUCAGAGACUAAGCAGUGCAGGCAGCAGGCAGAAGACGGAGACGGAGACUAUGCAGUGUAGGCAGCAGGCAGAAAUAUACUCGUUUUGUCGAAGAUAACAAAUGAAGCACGCAGAUGAAGAUGAAGUUGAGACUAUGCAGUGCAGUGCAGUGCAGGCAGCAGGCAGCAGGCAGACUAUGCAGACUGCGAAGAACAUGAAUGCCGAGAAUAAAGCCGAUGAAGUCCGCACAACUCUUUAAAUGGAUUGACUCUCGCUGAAGCCGAGAAUAAAGCCGAGAUGAAGUCCACAAAACUGUUUUAAGUGGACUCUCGGUGAAGCCGGCCUCAUCAAAUUCCUUGAUGCUCAACUACAGAGCGCAGCUCAAGGCCCAUUUUUCACCCUAUGAACAGGAUGUAGAUUUAGUUUCACUCGAGUGCUGCACGGUCAAUACCUUGCUGACUCCUGGUUCUAUAUACAAAAUCAGUGAUCCGGUUACUUUAACAAGUUGCACUUGUCAGCACAUCCAAACUUAUCAAUUUGAGAUAAAGAGAUUACUAAUUUUGAAGGCAGCUCUUCAACGAAGAACAUCAGAGGCAUCGCAGGCAGGGACUAAUGCAGGAUGCGCGAAGCAGUAAGGGCGUGCGAAGAAUGAAGAGCGAACAAGAAAACCACGAAGACAACAACUGAAGAGCCGAAGUUGGCUGAGUCGUUUAAGCAGAAGUGCAGGACGAUGCCUUCUUAACACACAGAAAGAAAGGUAAUAGAUCUCAGUUGCAUACCACAUCCACCACAUAAUUUUUUUAAUGACAGAACAUAAACUAUAGAUAAAGUUGAAACCUUAACCGAAGUCAAGAAGUUGACGUCAGGUCUCAGUACUCCUAGCAGGCAGAGCUAAAGAGUAACUUCUCUCAGAGAACAUGCAUUGGACACGGGCUUCAGGUCUAACUCCGGCUGCGGCGAUACCUGGGAGAGCAGUCCAGUAUGAGAUUGGGACACAAUAAUUAGGUGAUAUUUCCACAGAAUCUGCAUUUACCCUUUAGCAUCAGGAGAAUCAUCCCUGGCACGGACUGGUGACUUGCUAUAGCUGCGACCACGGGCUGGGGCUGGAGAAGCACUGCGGCGUCUUGGAGAGCGAUCACGAGGGCUGUAACUUCUGUUUGCAGAGUAGUUAGUUUCUAAGAGUUCAUUCCUUCAAUCAUAAUCCUAGGCAUAUAAUGAGCACAAAGUAGAGAAACCUCACAUAGCCAAAAAUAACAAAAAGUAAAAGACCAGGCACCCAAGCUUGACAUGGUAGGUAGAAGAACUUAUAAAGAACAAGCAACCAUUUUUGACAUAAACAGUAUGCAAGGAAAUGAACAACAAAGCUAACCUAAACAAUUGAGACUUAUAACUUAAUGCAUUAACAAAAUGUGUUACCUUCUGCCAUAGCUCGGACUCCUGCGGUACCUAGGACUGCGGCUGCGGCUGCGGCUCCUGCUGCGACGCCUUCCACUGCCCAGACCCCCAGCACCAAUACGCAGACGACAUUCACGAGCAAAGUGCCCAGAUUCACCACAUUCAUAGCAUUUCAUAUCAGAACCACCACGAUCACGACCGCCACCGCCGCCGCCACCACCACCACCACGACCUCCACGGUCACCACGGUCAUUGCGAGACAGCUC